CCGCCCAUAGCCUAACUGGUAAGGCGCGCGCUUGAUGAGCGCGUAUUUUUCCUGGUUCGAGUCCAGGUGGGCGGA
rnacentral:tRNA from 1 species